rnacentral:rRNA from 1 species
UGAGGAAUAUUGGUCAAUGGGCGCAAGCCUGAACCAGCCAUCCCGCGUGAAGGAAGAAGGCCCUACGAGUUGUAAACUUCUUUUCUGUUUGAAGAAUAAGCUCGUCGAGACGAGUGAUGCCGGUAGGACAGGAAUAAGCAUCGGCUAACUCCGUGCCAGCAGCCGCGGUAAUACGGAGGAUGCAAGCGUUAUCCGGAUUUAUUGGGUUUAAAGGGUGCGCAGGUGGUUUAAUAAGUCAGUGGUGAAAGUCUGGCGCUUAACGUUAGGAUUGACAUUGAUAAUAUUAGCCUUGAGUAUGGAUGAGCGCGGCGGAAGGUGUAGUGUAGCGGUGAAAUGCUUCGCUAUAACACAGCACACCGAUUGCUCAGGGAGCUUACUAAUCCAUCAUUGACGCUGAGGCACGAA